CCAAAUUAAGUGUACCUUCCCAAUCUUCUCCUAUUUUUUUUGUUAAAAAAAAUAGUAACCUAUCUGUCCAAUUCAUUUUUUUAAUAAAAUAAUUAAGUUUUAAAUUUGAGAAUAAAUACGACUAUUCAAAUUCCACCCACUUUAACUAUUAUUGUCCAAUAGAAUUCUUUUUUUUUUUCUAGUCAAAAACUAAGGUCAAUAUAUGCAAAAAUUUUGAAAAUAAAGUGUCCAAAUUGAAUGCAAAAGAAUCAAACUGCUAUAAGGGGGUAGUACACGGACCAUUUCUUAUAUUGUUACAUUGAAUAAAAUAGCGUGAUAUUUUGGGGUGUAAAUGCGGUACGCGUAGCGGGGACUUAAAAUAGAAGCUGGGGUAAAGCUGGAUUCGCGGAGGGAUAAUAAGAUGAAUAAUAAUUGCGGUAAUUAAAAAAAGGAGUAUGCUGACUCAGCGGUGGCGUGGAGGCCCCGUCGCGGAUAAGGACGUGUUGUGGGCCCCCUGGGUGACGUGGAUCCUAGUCAACUACGCCGAGGUGGACGCCGAGGAAUCGGGGAAGCGUUCUUUUCUCUGUAAUGACUAAAAAUAGCGAAUAAAACACGUGGUUAGUGAGCUUUGCUGUGGGAGCGUCGGUGAAAUACUAUGGAAACUAAUCAACUAGCUAAUUAAAAUUUGUCCAGUAAAAAAUAUAUUAUAUAUUUUUUAAAUUUUUUUUUCCAACUCUAUAUCGUUUUCUCUUAUUUAAAUAAGCUUUCACCGUCGAGUGAUUUCUCUUAAAAAAAAUAUAAUAAAAGAACAGAGUUGGUGAGCUAUAGUUAGUCAUAAUUAUUUUUCUAAAACAAUAUUUUUUUAUAAAUAAAAAGAAUAAAUUCUUUACCACUUGCACUGAAAAAUAUCGGUGAUAAUUAUUAUUUCUAUUGAAAUUUUGUUUGGGAAGAGAUGAGUGCCCCGAUUUUUCAGAAUUUGGUCGAAACUUUUGCGAUCUAAGUGGAUUCCAAUUCGAGGUACAGGGUUAUCGGUAUUAAAUACUACGCAUUCGAUGAAUAAAGGUUUUCUUAACGGGCACAAUAUUCAACCCUUGAGAUGAAUUUGGAGUAGCGGUAGUUUUUUCUAUUUAUACUGAAGAUAAAGUAGUUUAGUUUCAUUUUUCACUUACAGUCAUGAGUAAAAAUAAUUUUAGCAGCUUUAACUGUACGUAGUAGUCGAAAUCUCAGUAAUUACACACUCUCCUAACAUUUCAAUCAUCUCCGUUUGGUUGGGGUUAAGGGGUGGAAUAACCCCUUAACCCCUAUUUUAUUUCCCAACAUUUUUAAAAAUGGGUGGGGUUAGCUAACCGUACCUCAAAUGGGUUAUUCCGGAUUAGCUAAUCCCACCUAACCCCACCAAACUCCAACCAAAUAUUAUUUUCUAUUCAUAAUAAUCUACUAUUCUUCUUGUCCCACAUAUUCCAACCAAAUAUUAUUUUUCACUAUCCUGAACUAACUCCAAUCUCCAACCAAAUACAAAAAUACUCUAACCACACCUUAACUCUAAACUUAAUCCUAUCACUGGAAUAACUAGUUUUUCCUUAACUCCGAACCAAACGGUAGCUCCAGAAUCAACCGAAUAUAAUCGAUCUAA
rnacentral:lncRNA from 1 species